AUGGCACCGAGACAGGUGCCCCCUGGGGGCCCCGAGUGGAUGGGCCGCUGGGCCCUGGCUCCGCUUGCCGUGUCCUUUCUGGGGACCCUUCCUGGGCCGGGGAGCCGUGCGCAGUGGCACAGGCCUGGGCAGGUGCCCGCUGGUAUCACUAUCUGCAGGCCUGGGGCUGCCACUGCUCCCAUGGGCCCCUCCCGGCGGCAACGUUCGCGACCUUGUCUCUCGCGCGCACAUGCACCUGGAUCAUCCCCUGGACAUGGGGCUCCCAGGAACCGGGGUGCCCCAGUGCACAGGCAGGUGGGCACCGGGUGGACGGAGGGGGCCGUCGCCCACGGAAAGCGGGUCACAGCGCCCAGGCCCAGGCGGGCAGCUGGGAGCCGCAGCACCACGGCCUCACCUGUACCGGCAGCAACCCCCCCCACGGGCCUUACCUGUGCCUGCAUCACCCCACCUCCCCAAGGCAGCCUGCGGAGGCCGCAGAAGAGCAGAGGGCACCAGGGAAGAGUGUCCAUCAGCCAAGGCCCUGGUCCCCUCCCCGGGGACAGAUGGCCCCAAGAGCAGGUCCCCCUCCCUGGGACACCUCUUCCCAGACUCAGCCAAGAGCCCCAGGAGGCCUCCCGGGGCCUCUGUCAUCAAGAGGCAGAGGAGGGGACACAGGCCACGGGGUCACCUUGCCGACAUCGCUCCGCCCGCAUCCCCGGGGUAGGGGUGGCCCAGGACCUGGCUGGGCCGCCUCGGAUCACCGCCGCAGGGCCCCUGCUGCUGGCCCGGCCUGGGGGUAUUACACUAGCACUCGGUCAUCUCCGGCUGCUCCAUCCUUGCUGGCGAAGCAGAGCUGGAGGCUGCAGCCCACGCCCAUGCCGGCGCCUUUCAGCGUCUGGUGGACUGGCUCUGGGCGAGGACCAGGCUGUGCUGCCAGCCCAGGGAGGCUGUCAGCGCCCUGGCUCCCCCCUUCGGUGGGCGGUCCGCACCCCGGCUGCCUGGGCCCGGCCGCACGCGGAAGAGGGCUCUUACCAAAAAGGCACGCACCCCAAAACGUGA
rnacentral:lncRNA from 12 species